CCCAUGGAUGAUGAAGACCUUAUCGAAAAGAUUCUCGAUGGACUUGAUGAUGAAUACAAAUUUAUUGUUGAUGCUAUUGAAGGAUGUGAGACUCUAAUUUCCUUUGAUGAACUUCAUGAAAAAAUGAUUAAUA